ACAUACAUCCCAUUAACAGUUGCGGAAGGCACGUAUCGUUGUGUUACUGUGCAACACUCGCACAGAAAGAAAAAAUGCUGGUAGGUCAUCCCUCGCACGGAACGAUUCUUUUUCUCUCCCUCUCUCACUUUCCACCCCAACGGUUGCCGCCGUCGUCGCCCCCGCCCCCAUCGCUUCUCUAGCGCUGCCCAUCAGAGGACGGCCGUUUCUCCGCUGCUUCUUCUCUCGCCCUGCUCCAUCCCGACCAGCGCCACCGCCGCCCCUUUUCUCUCGUCUACGGGCGAGCCGUCACCGGUGAGGUGAGACGUCGUCUCCCGGCCAGGACAUAGCGGCAGAGAGGAGCAAGGAAGCGGCAGGGGAAGUCCAAUUGGAAAAGUUAGUGGCGCUACAGAUUUCUUGAUCCCUUGGUCGACGGGGAUGCGGUUUUCGUUGGUGGUGAUGGGAAGGGAACAUGCGUGGCGGUGACGGGAGGACCAUCAGAAAAAGAGGAGGAUGGGGAACAAGGGAGGAGGCCAAGCAGGGGAGGAGAGACAUGAAGCAUUCAUUUGCUGCCGUUUCUCCAGGUAAUCUGAUUCUCCGUCAUGUUUGCCGGGCACUUUGUCUCCACCCCGUCCCACUGAGGCACCAGGCUACCAGCAGCUGGAUUGUACUAUUCAUCUAGUGCACAAUCAGUUCUGUUCAUUCCAAAUCAAUCAAUCCAACAAGGGUAGGGAGGGAUACUUCACAAUUUCAUCUUGAUCCAUCCAUGUAUGUGUUAAUGUUGAUCUGGAAUUCUGGAUCAAUCUGAUGCUCACGUGGGUCGUACCAUGUCAUCAGUUGUUUUCCAUCAAUGCUUGCAAGAAUAUACAUAGUGUAGUCCUUGUUUUACUCCCAUUACUAUUUGUUUCAAGUGUUCCUACACCUACUCUCUGCGGAUCUUGUAAUUUAGAAUCUGCAUGUACCACUGUAUUAGCAUAAUCCAAAUACUUAAAGAAAUGAAAUUAUAACUUGACUCUGCAUGUUACCAUCAUAUGUAAAUCUGAUACAUAUCGGUGCCUACAGCUGUACAUGGCAUCAAUAGAGAGCUUGUGCUUGUGUGAGUGUACUUCAUAAUUCAUUUUGGUCAAAUGUACACAUAUUCUUCAGAAGAUAUGGAAUAGACAUAUUUUUCAGAAGAUAUGGAAGUAAUGGGAACUUGCUUACCUGAGAAUAUUGCAUUGGGGACUGUGGCAAUGUGACAGUGGUGAGUUGUUUGAAUCUAUAAGCACAUAUUAUGUGGAAGCUUGAAUGCCAUGAUUUAUUCUUAGCAGGUCUUGCAGCUAAGGACAUUUAUUGACUUAAAGCUAACUCUCUUAUGUUUUCUAAUCCAAUCAGGCUGCAGAGGACAGCUAUAGAAAAUAUGUUUUUUAAGCUUAAACAUUUGAUUUCUUGUGAUCCAUUUUAUUUUCGCUCACUCAAUCCAAUCCCAUCAUACAUGUUAAUUCAUGUUUGUCAGCUUGGCUGUUGUCCUGCAUCUACUUAUACACAGUAACACCCCUGUAUGCAAAGACGACAUUUGUUUGGAAAAAAUAGCACAUGUAUGUUUACUUUACAAAAUAGGAUAUGCAGUUGACGAGACUGUCAUAUGGGAGCCACUUUGUUUUCUGGUUCUUAUCAAUCAUAUGAAUUGUUGAGAAAUUAGAGGUUUUUGUUUUUGCAAGGACAAAACUAUACUGAAAUUCAAAUGCUUCCCAACCCAAAAUUCAGUUAUGUCCAUGUUUACAGAUAUAUCGGUUUUGCAUGUAAGCUGUUGACGAGCCUUUGCAAUAAUUCCCCAUAUGUCUCCUAGUCUUGUUUCUUGUAUUAUGUGUAUAUUUAAUACUCCCUCUGUAAAUUAAUAAUAUAAGAGCGUUUAGAUCACUAUUUUAGUAUUCUAAACGCUCUUAUAUUAGUUUACGGAGGGAGUAUUGUUUAUGACUCAUUAUAACUCACUCAAUACAACAUGGUUUUAGGUGGCUGAGCUAAAGGUUUUCAACAAGUUCAUCUGAUAUGUUUUCCGCUACAAUCAUCAUUAUUUGAUAGCAAUGUUAUUGCAGUAUGAUAAUAUUUUUGUCUAGGCAUACGUGCAAUUUUUUUCCCGUAAGUAUCCCUAAAUGAAAGCUAUUUUGCAACAACUAAGUGGGAUCUUUGAACACGAAUAUCUUUACAUUUUAGGCGUAAAUGAACAUCUUUACUUACCAAUAACAUUAGUGAAUUGAUAACUUGGACUUCAUAUAAAGCAGCAAAUUGUUUAAAAAUGGUCUCACUAUUUACCUCUAUUUAUCAACCAGAACUUCUCUCAGUUCUGUACAUGUUCCUUCUAAUGUGUAAUCCUGAUGUGUUCUUCCUGUAGGUGCCACCAUCGCUAUCAAUCUCGCAUCAAGAUGUCGACGGCAAUUCCAUCAUACCCGGUGUGAAGAAAUAAUCGACAAAAUUUAUAGGGAUCCUCCUCGCACUGCCUCUCUCCCUCUUCCUUGCUCGAUUUCACGCUGGAGAAUCUCAACCCCUUGACGGAAUCGAUCGAUUUCUCGUUCGAGUGGUCAAAUCCUUAUUAGGGAGGUCAAAUCCUUGCCAGGGAGAUUGACGGAGAAGGCUGAUUUCUUACUGGUCGCCUUUUUGAGCAUCUAGGGCCAAAGCGGCAUUAUGCCAGCGUGCCAACGCCCAGCGUUUAAGCACACCUAGGCAAGUGCCUAACAACGUUUCUUUAACUACGGUAAGGAGUCUAUUGCUGGUUUUAACUUGGAAUAAUGAUUGUUAGGCAUAGCUUCACUUCCACAUUUGCCUGCAUAUUCUUAAGCUGGUAAAACAGAGCAAAACACGCACUACGGAAUGCAGGGAGAGCAUGGAUUUAUCUUUCUCUUCGUUCGUUUAUUUGAUAGGCCACAUUGCAUGGAGAACAUGGGUUUAUUUUGCUCUUUCUACUUUUGAUAGGUAGGGCACAAUGUUUCUGUUUCAUUCAUGCCUUUGUUGCUAACGGUACUAUUGUGUAAAUUGAACAUUGAUGUUCAAUGUUAUCACAUGAUUUACACAAACUGGAUUUUUGAUCCAUUGGGAAGCUGCAGGUGCGGACAAUCUAAUACCAAAGGAAUUGGCCCUCAAAAUUGCAACCAAGAUUAGAGCUGGCGAAUGAUUUGCUGUUUAUGUAGUCAUACCAAUGUGGCCUGAAGGAAUCCCUACCUCAGCCUCUGAGCAAUAUUUUUUUUCUUUUAGGCACAUUCGGGCAUGAUGGGAUUCUGGUCCACUCUUCUGGAGACCCUCCUGGUGAACGAGCGUGGCGUCCUCAUGAAGAGCCUGCAAAUGGGGGAAUUUUACUACCUAAUUCGUCGCUUCUUGUGCUGCAUCCAACAAGAUGAAUGAUUCUAAUGAACAAGUACUCAUAUCGAUCUAAUUAAUCAGCUCCAUAUCUAGCCGGUUAGAAGAAUGAAGGUUUCUGUAUAUGUAUGAAAGAAAACCAAAGAAGCUUGCAUUUCUGAUCAAGCUUCAAUGAGUGCUAGUGUUCUUGCUUUCCAUGUUGAUGUAUGUUACCUCUGGAUGAAUCGUUUCCUGCUGAGAGUUUCCUCUUUUAGUGUUGGAGAUGUUGUAGCAGCUUACAAUUACCGGGAGAAACAAGUUACCAAAUCAUUCUGCUUGCAUCUGAUUGGUUUUAGGAAUGUCCUGAUCAGUUUCACGUGCAUGUGUGAACAUAUACGUAAAUAAAAGGCGGGCAUGUCCUUGUGCAAAUAGGAGAGUG